rnacentral:rRNA from 1 species
UACAGUGACCUCAAGCGUUAUCCGGAAUCAUUGGGCGUAAAGCGUACCGAUAGGUGGUUGUACAAGUCAGAAGUGAAAUCUCCGAGCUUAACUCGGAAUCUGUCUUUUGAAACUGUACGACUAGAGGGGCAAAGAGGAAGCUAGAACGAACGGUGUAGUAGUGAAAUGCGUUGAUAUCGUUCGGAAUACCGAUAGCGAAGGCAGGCUUCUGGGUGCCACCUGACACUGCUAGGACGAAAGCGUGGGGAGCGAAUGGG